rnacentral:rRNA from 1 species
UACGUAGGGUCCGAGCGUUGUCCGGAAUUAUUGGGCGUAAAGGGCUCGUAGGCGGUCCGUCACGUCGGGAGUGAAAACUCAGGGCUCAACCCUGAGCGUGCUUCCGAUACGGGCGGACUAGAGGUAUGCAGGGGAGAACGGAAUUCCUGGUGUAGCGGUGGAAUGCGCAGAUAUCAGGAGGAACACCGGUGGCGAAGGCGGUUCUCUGGGCAUGUCCUGACGCUGAGGAGCGAAAGUGUGGGGGAGCGAACAGG